AAGAGAUGAUGAACCAAACUGAAGAGAGGUGAAGAUAGCUGAAGAACCGAUUCUCCUUUCUGAUACACGCUGAAGAGUUGAGUUGAAGAGUUGCUGUCAUCAAAGAACUCAUAUCUCAAGUCGUCUUCUCCAAAUAACAAUUUUUUGAAGAGCAAGAAUGAAUAUUUUUGGGUUGUUGGCAAGAUGAUGAAUUGAAGCUAAUUAGUCUCUCUGUCACACUUUUCUCUCAUGUUUCUCACUGAAGAACACAAUUUCAAACAGAUUUUGUUGGAGUAGGUUUUAUCAGGGAUGGAAAAAAGUUGUGAUUUAUUUGAGCAAAAACAUUUAGAGCAGCUAAAGAAAAU